rnacentral:rRNA from 1 species
CUACGGGGCGCUCCAGUGGGGAAUAUUGCACAAUGGGCGCAAGCCUGAUGCAGCCAUGCCGCGUGUAUGAAGAAGGCCUUCGGGUUGUAAAGUACUUUCAGCGGGGAGGAAGGGAGUAAAGUUAAUACCUUUGCUCAUUGACGUUACCCGCAGAAGAAGAACCGGCUAACUCCGUGCCAGCAGCCGCGGUAAUACGGAGGGUGCAAGCGUUAAUCGGAAUUACUGGGCGUAAAGCGCACGCAGGCGGUUUGUUAAGUCAGAUGUGAAAUCCCCGGGCUCAACCUGGGAACUGCAGCUGAUACUGGCAAGCUUGAGUCUCGUAGAGGGGGGUAGAAUUCCAGGUGUAGCGGUGAAAUGCGUAGAGAUCUGGAGGAAUACCGGUGGCGAAGGCGGCCCCCUGGACGAAGACUGACGCUCAGGUGCGAAAGCGUGGGGAGCAAACAGGAUUAGAUACCCGAGUAGUC